UACGUAGGGCGCAAGCGUUGUCCGGAAUUAUUGGGCGUAAAGAGCGCGUAGGCGGUCCGAUAAGUCGGCUGUGAAAGUCAGGGGCUCAACCCUUGAAAGCCGGCCGAUACUGUCGGACUAGAGUCCGGAAGAGGCGAGUGGAAUUCCCGGUGUAGCGGUGAAAUGCGCAGAUAUCAGGAGGAACACCGGUGGCGAAGGCGGGUCUCUGGGCCGAUACUGACGCUGAGGAGCGAAAGCGUGGGGAGCAAACAGG
rnacentral:rRNA from 1 species